rnacentral:rRNA from 1 species
UCCUGAGCCUAAACAGUGAAGGUAAACUUGUGAGGAAGGUGGGGCAGGAGUUGUGAAGGAGGAGAGAUGAGAGCUGAGAAAAUAGAGGGCGAUUGUAUUGCCAGCCUAGACAACUACCCGUCAUUGCGGGAGUGUAGCAACUGUGGAGAGUUUUAUGACAGUGAACAAGAAGCCAAAGACUGCUGUCCUCAGUGGCGGUGUACGGUCU